rnacentral:rRNA from 1 species
CAGUAGCCGCGGGAAUACAGAGGGUGCGAGCGUUAAUCGGAUUUACUGGGCGUAAAGCGUGCGUAGGCGGCUUCUUAAGUCGGAUGUGAAAUCCCUGAGCUUAACUUAGGAAUUGCAUUCGAUACUGGGAAGCUAGAGUAUGGGAGAGGAUGGUAGAAUUCCAGGUGUAGCGGUGAAAUGCGUAGAGAUCUGGAGGAAUACCGAUGGCGAAGGCAGCCAUCUGGCCUAAUACUGACGCUGAGGUACGAAAGCAUGGGGAGCAAACAGGAUUAGAACCCCAGUAGUCCCUGUCUCUUAUACC